AAAGGUGAGAACCCACAACUGUGUUUUGUUUGUUUUUUACGACAAGACGACACAAUUUGACGGAUAUCGUAGAAAGAUAAGAGAGAAAUACUAUUCUUUUGAAAUAGGAUGCCUGGUGAAAAGUGAAAAGCUACACACGCUAAGCGAAGGCGGUCAAGACAGACCGCCAGCAGCACUGCACUUUUGCCAGUGAGUGGUCGGAGCCAUUUUGAGUUUUUCUUUUUUGUCGGUUGGGAUAUUUCAAGCCUGUCACUCGAUACUUGAUGGCUAGACUUCCGUCUGUGCCCCCCAUACAUCGUUAAGUAGUCUCUCUAGCUUUAUUGCAUAGCCCUAUGACGACAUAAAACUCGUUUCUUUUCAUGUUUUUAAGAACCUUUUUUAAUUUAUGAUUGCAGGUCUGCACACAGCAGCCAUUGACGUCUGCUACUCUUCCUCGAUAUGUUUUUCAACUUAGGACUGUGACGUUUCUCGUAAACACAAUAGGAAAUACAUUCAUGUCCCCGACUACUGAAAGAGGAGGAGAAAACAAGUAAUUCUUCGCUUUACACCUGAAAAACACCGCAGACACAGAGCCAACAAGUUUCUCCUCGCUGCCGUAAUAUCCCUGCGGAGUUUGCGUGCUGGAUUUACACAAAAAUAAAACCGUUGUACAGUACGACAAUGAGGCAAGGUCAAUGGAGGAUUCCCCAGGUUUUUGCAUGGCCGGAAUAAGCUUGGGAAAAACAAAAGAAAGAAACUAUAAUACAUUUUUAUUUGUUCAACGUA